CUGUGCAGAGCUAUUACUGUUCUGGUUAUGCUGAUAGUGUGACAAGGCGGAAUCUUUGGUACACCUGGAUUCUUUUUACUCACAGUGAUCAAAGGGCCUGGAAAUACGUCUGGCCUUCUGCGAUUGGUUCCCCAGGCCGCCGUCGAACGGCUCACGUCUUACACGACUCGAGAGUUCGCUUCUCUCAGCGAGCGACCGUUCCGUCUUCCUCUUCUGUUCUUCUCGCUUGUGAUAUUAAUAUUUUAGCAUUCACAAAGGAGAAGCGCUCUGGAGGAUAAGGGGGGGGGGGGGGGAUAGAGAGAAGGAAGCUGGUUUCAAUGAGAAGGACUUCACAGCAAACACACACGUGUCCCUUUGUGUGUCGUUCGUCAGACACACUGCUUUCCGUCGCUCUCCAACCGAGACACGCUAAUGGACCCCGACAAUGCGGUGCACCUCGACAGACAUCUUCAUUCCAGAAGCUUCUGACUGAAGAGCUAUAAGUACGAUCACAAAUGCAUAAUAAGACAGACAUUAAAUGUUGACAUGAAUGGAUGUCUGGCAAGGGGAGAGGAUUCUAAUCUGAGGAAAAACUUAAAUAACAAUUAUCCAGAAAGGAACUCCACUGUUUGGCAAGGGUAGAUUUGAGGGUGUCACCUUCGUUCCAUCACUGACUUCGUCGGAGGGCCAACUUGGGAUGUAGCACGUCUGUCCCGAAUGACAAGGUAAAGGCAAAUUUGCCUUGAUCAACGGGGCAGUCAAUCAGACUUUGUGUACAAAGGACCUUAUGUGAAGCAGGGUGGAAAACCCCCAUGAAAAGUGCUCUUGCUUUGAGUCGAAUAUAAAAAUGCAAGACCACGUUUUAGUCACUUGUGACAACUACUACCCUUGGCCUAUCCUUUGCCCUGAUAACAAGGUUGUUGCCUUCAUAUUGUGUAUAAUGACAAGUGUUUGUUGCUCUACAGAACAUUGUACUGGAUUUCCUAUUACAUGAUCUGAAAAGGAUACCAGUCUAUUAGACAAUACCACCAGUCAGUGCUUUAAUAACAGCAAAAUGUUUGUUUCUUUUUCUUCUUUUUUUUUUGGACCAUGCCAUACUUGCCUUUAUUUCUGUUUAUUUUAAACAUCUACUGUGUUGUUAUAAUGUUUUCUAAGGAGAUUUUUGUAGCAUGUGUUUUGUAUUUUUUUUAAAACAGAUUUGGUUUAAAUAAUGUAUAUCACCCCCACCGCCUUCCCGUCGCACAAAAAGAAAGAAAUUGUAAACACAUACAUUACAGAAAAAUCAAUGCAUGGGCGGCUGUUUUUUGUACUUGUCCAGUAAAAGUUUGCCGCCUCUUGGAUAGAUUAGUUUGUAAAAGUGCCGCAUAUUUCCACUGCGUAAUGAGAAGGGACCAAAUGGAAGGAAGAGGCUCUGUUUUACUGAACAAAAACAAAGCCCGCAAGGCUCAAGUCAGCAGCGCCAUAGCUGCCCCUUGGGCUCACGAAAAACACUGAAUAACGAGGCCAGCCACAACCUAAUAUCCUCCCUCAACGCGGGUCCUGUAACAGGAACAGUAAUUGGAGAAAAUAAAAGCAUCGCGGCAGUGUGAUUUUUCCUGGGCAAAGAGUGAAUGGUCUGAGUGCGUUGUGAAAA